rnacentral:miRNA from 1 species
UUGGGUGACCAACCAUUCAGUUUUGCUUAGACUUUGGGCCUUCCCAGAUCACAACUCUAUUUCAAAACUAGGAUGGUUGGUUACCCAAGAGGCAA